rnacentral:tRNA from 1 species
GGCGCCGUCGCCAAGUGGUAAGGCAAGGGUCUGCAAAACCCUUAUCGUCGGUUCGACUCCGAUCGGUGCCUCCA